rnacentral:rRNA from 1 species
UUCCGUAGCCACUAAGUAAUUUAAGUAUACUGACACAACGUGGAAGCACAACCCGGGCGAUGGUAGCCCCGGGCGAAAGGGACUGAAAUUAAGUAGGGAAGUGUGACGAAGUGGUGGCGAGAAAAGGUAUACGGAUAUUACAGGUGCCCGUACCGCAAACCGACACAGGUAGAUGAGGAGAAAUCCUAAGGCCAACGGGAGAAGGGUUGUUAAGGAACUCGGCAUAUUAACCCCGUAACUUCGGAAGAAGGGGUGCCGCAGAAAUGCGGCCACAGUGAAAAGGCCCAGGCGACUGUUCAUCAAAAACACAGGUCUCUGCAAAACCGAAAGGUGAAGUAUAGGGGCUGACGGCUGCCCGGUGCCGGAAGGUCAAGGGGAUUGCUUAGCGCAAGCGAAGGCAAGAACUUAAGCCCCGGUAAACGGCGGCCGUAACGAUAACGGUCCUAAGGUAGCGAAAUUCCUUGUCAGGUAAGGUCUGACCCGCACGAAUGGCGUAACGAUCUGGGCACUGUCUCAACAGCCCGCCCGGCGAAAUUGUAGUACCGGUGAAGAUGCCGGUUACCCGCGACUAGACGGAAAGACCCCAUGGAGCUUUACUGUAGUUUGAUACUGAAUUUCGGCACAUUAUGCACAGGAUAGGUGGGAGACAGAGAAGUAAGCGCUUCGGCGUUUGCGGAGUCGCCGUUGGGAUACCACUCUUGAUGUAUCGAAGUUCUAACCUGCUCCCGUAAUCCGGGAGGGGGACAAUGUCAGAUGGGCAGUUUGACUGGGGCGGUCGCCUCCUAAAGAGUAACGGAGGCGCUCAAAGGUCGGCUCAGCGCGGACGGAAAUCGCGCAAUGAGUGUAAACGUAUAAGCCGGCCUAACUGCGAGACCUACAAGUCGAGCAGUAACGAAAGUUGGAGUUAGUGAUCAGGUGGUAGUGAGUGGAAAUGCCAUCGCUUAACGGAUAAAAGCUACCCUGGGGAUAGCAGGGUGAUCUCCCCCAAGAGUUCACAUCGACGGGGAGGUUUGGCACCUCGAUGUCGGCUCAUCACAUCCUGGGGCUUGGAGAAGGUCCCAAGGGUUCGGCUGUCCGCCGAUUAAAGUGGUACGCGAGCCGGGUUCAGAACGUCGUGAGACAGUUCGGUCCCUAUCUGUCGUGGGCGUAGGAUAUUUGAGAGGGGCUGACCUUAGUACGAGAGGACCGGGUCGGACGCACCUCCGGUGCACCAGUUGUUCUGCCAAGGGCACAGCUGGGUAGCCGCGUGCGGUUAUGAUAAGCGCUGAAAGCAUCUAAGCGUGAAACAUGCUUCAAGAUUAGAUAUCCCAUAGCUUAAGCUAGUAAGGACACUUGUAGACUACGAGUUUGAUAGGUCGGAGGUGUAAGUGCAGUAAUGCAUUCAGCUGACCGAUACUAAUUGUCCGAGGGCUUGAUC